UCCGUAGGCGGGCGAUUAAGUCAGAGGUGAAAUCCCACAGCUCAACUGUGGAACUGCCUUUGAUACUGGUUGUCUUGAGUUACAGUGAAGUAGAUAGAAUAUGUAGUGUAGCGGUGAAAUGCAUAGAUAUUACAUAGAAUACCGAUUGCGAAGGCAGUCUACUAACUGUAUACUGACGCUGAUGGACGAAAGCGUGGGGAGCGAACAGGAUUAGAUACCCUGGUAGUCC
rnacentral:rRNA from 1 species